AUGCAGACUGUAAGUGAGUUAAUGGACCCCUCCACGGGGCAAUGGGAUGAGCGCCUUGUGCGGGAUACUUUUUGCGCAGAGGAUGCUAGACACAUUCUGCAGAUGCCAUUGCGGGAGGGGGUUCAUGACUUCGUUGCAUGGCAGUUCGAGAGCAAGGGAAUACACUCUGUGAAGAGUGCGUAUAAGUUGCACAUGGAACUGAAGGCUAUAAGGAAGAAUGGGGGAGUAGGACAGAGCACAGCCGAAGCGGGUAACCUGAACACUUGCAGCGACGAUUCUUGGAAAAGAAUCUGGCGAUUGCCGUGCCCGAGAACUGUCCAGAUGUUCACUUGGAGACUGCGGCAUGAAUCUCUAGCACUCCUGUCAAACAUGCAAAGGCGAGGUCUGAAAGUGGAGAGCACGAAAUGUUUUUUCUAUGGGCAAGCUGAUGAGGAUGGGGGGCACCUGUCCAUCAAGUGCAAAUCAGUGAAGGUGGUGUGGAGGGAACUAGGCUUAGAGAAGGAAAGAAGGGAGCUGCAAGCAAUCUCAUCUGUACAUGUGAUGAUGGACUACCUUUGGGAGCUAAACACCCCAAAAAGGAUGCAGAUUCUCACAUUCUGGUGGAUGUGGUGGAGCGCUAGGAAUAAACUGAGAAAUGGGGAGCGUGUCUUGACAGCGGCCGAAGUAGCGAGACGCGCACGCAGCUCUACUCUGGAAUAUAUGCAGGUUUUCCUCCCAGAACCCAAGCCACAGUGCACUGAUAAAUGGAGGCCUCCUGCUCAAGACAUGGUUAAGUUCAAUGUUGAUGGCGCCUUCGUCCCAGGGGAGCUCCAUGCAGGCUGGGGUGCGAUGGCAAGAACCAGCGACGGCGAAGUGGUGGGUGCACGGGCAGGAAGACAGGAACUCAUCCAAGAUGCCUUUGCAGCGGAAGUAGUGGCGCUGUCAAAUGCUGUUUCAUUUGCAGCUGACUUGGGGAUUAUUCGAGCAGAGUUUGAAACUGAUUCACAAUUGCUGGCAGAAGCAAUGGAUAUUCGGAAGGUCGAUUCUUCGGCGUACGCCUUUUCUUUUCCUUGA
rnacentral:rRNA from 1 species